rnacentral:rRNA from 1 species
UGCCAGCAGCCGCGGUAAUACGGAGGGUGCGAGCGUUAAUCGGAAUUACUGGGCGUAAAGCGCGCGUAGGCGGCUUUUUAAGUCAGAUGUGAAAGUCCACGGCUCAACCCCGGAAGUGCAUUGGAAACUGGCGAGCUUGAGUACGGGAGAGGAAAGUGGAAUUCCGAGUGUAGGGGUGAAAUCCGUAGAUAUUCGGAGGAACACCAGUGGCGAAGGCGGCUUUCUGGACCGAUACUGACGCUGAGACGCGAAAGCGUGGGGAGCAAACAGGAUUAGAUA